rnacentral:ncRNA from 1 species
GGGCAUUAUGCAAUGGGCGAAAUCAAGAGGAUUGGGAGGGGAAGUUGACUAAUCCCAGCUGGCAAAAGCCGGCACGUAUGGGCCCGAGCUUCUGGGAAUUGAAACAUCUUAGUACCAGAAGGGAAAAAUCAAGCGAGAUGCCGUGAGUAGUGGCGAGCGAAAGCGGAGCAAGGGGGCAAAGUAAGUUAAACCGUAGAGGGUAACAGGCCCGUGAAUUACUUAGUAACCUAUGAUUAGACCCGCGUAUGCGUGGAGUAGAAUAAUUUGAAGAAGGGUGAACCAGACAUCCAACAUCGCGAAAAGUAAUGCACCGAGAGAGGAAGUACCGUGAGGGAA